UGAGUGUGAUGAUGCCUGAGAAUGGUUUCGCUUUAUGAGCUGAUUGUCUUGUGAUGCCACAAUUCUCUUGGCUAUCUGAUUCA